rfam:Brachypodium distachyon strain Bd21 chromosome 1, whole genome shotgun sequence.
UUCAUAUUCCUCCGUCCAACAAAAAAUGUUUCAAUUUUGCCAAAAUUUGAAUGUAUCUAGACAUACUUCGUGUAUAGAUGUAUUCAAAUUUAGUCAAAGUUGAGACAUCUUUUGUUGGACGGAGAGAGUACUAU